rnacentral:lncRNA from 1 species
GGCCGCCGCGUCCCAGUGCCCGCACUCCGGGGCGCCCCCGCUCCCGCCACCGCCCAGCCGAGGCCGCCCCCCACAGGUUCCCGUCGCUGGACUGAGCCCAGAAAGCGCCGGGAGACGCGCAGACCCCGAGAAACAAUGAGCAGAGAAGAGAUGCUGUUUCAAAAUGGGAAAAGCCAGUGGGUAUCUAGGGGAAUUCCGGGCAGAGGUAAGAGGAGGCAGGUCCCCAUACUAGAACAUUCAGUAUGAUGCCGGGAAGUGGGAGGGCAUGCAAGAGGGAG